rnacentral:rRNA from 1 species
GACGAACGCUGGCGGCGUGCCUAACACAUGCAAGUCGAGCGGGGGGAGUUCUUCGGAACGAACCUAGCGGCGGACGGGUGAGUAACACGUGGGCAACCUGCCUUGAGGAGGGGGAUAACAGGAUGAAAGUCCUGCUAAUACCGCAUAACCCGGUGCUGUCGCAUGAUGGCAUCGGCAAAGGAGCUAUCCGCCUCAAGAUGGGCCCGCGGCGCAUUAGCUAGUUGGUGGGGUAACGGCCUACCAAGGCGACGAUGCGUAGCCGACCUGAGAGGGUGAUCGGCCACAUUGGAACUGAGACACGGACCAGACUCCUACGGGAGGCAGCGGUGGGGAAUAUUGCGCAAUGGGAGAAAGCCUGAUGCAGCAACGCCGCGUGAGCGAGGAAGGCAGUCGGGUUGUAAAGAUCUGUGUUCGAUGACGAAAUCUGACGGUAAGCGAGGAGAAAGCCACGGCUAACUACGUG